AUUUGACCAAAAUUGACACGAAGUCACACCUCUUAAUUUUUCCAAUUUUACACUUAACGAAUUUUCGGUUAAUUUUGGUUAUUUUUGAACCAAUUCCAACAUAAUGCUCAAGGGACUUUGUCAUACAUUCAUAUAAAAUUCCUAUUUUUUGGAUUGAUUCUACAUUCGAAAGUACUUCACCAUAGUCAAUUAAGCAUCAAUCCAGAUGUGAACAUCUGGAAAAAUUAUCUGUAUUGAAGAGAAUACUCACAUUUACACCGUUGAGAUGAGAAAUUUUUCCUUAUCCACGCUCACUAUCUGGCCUUUUUUCACUGCCAAAUUGGUGUAAAAAAUUUGAAUCAAGCCCAAUUUAUUUCUCUGUCUUCCAAUCGAUACUUACUCAAAUAAACAGGCUUUUUGGGCUUGGGAGUUGUUGUUGUAGUGGGUUCUGCAUUGGAUGAUGAACCCUCUUCGAUUCAGUUUGUGCAAUCUUCUCAUUCUGUGGUUCAGAGGACUUUUCAGCUCUAAUCAAUUUUAAUUGCCUAAUUUUGGAUUUUCUUGGGUUCUUUGAGAACGUUGACAUGCAUGAGAAGGAGCUAUGGAGAGCUGCAGAGAAUGCCAUGGAAAUUUUGUUUAUAGAGUUUCUCACUGUUCAUUCUUUUCUGGAUAAGGGUCUUCUU
rnacentral:lncRNA from 1 species